rnacentral:rRNA from 1 species
UUGUCGGGUAAGUUCCGACCUGCACGAAUGGCGUAAUGAUGGCCAGGCUGUCUCCACCCGAGACUCAGUGAAAUUGAACUCGCUGUGAAGAUGCAGUGUACCCGCGGCAAGACGGAAAGACCCCGUGAACCUUUACUAUAGCUUGACACUGAACAUUGAGCCUUGAUGUGUAGGAUAGGUGGGAGGCUUUGAAGUGUGGACGCCAGUCUGCAUGGAGCCGACCUUGAAAUACCACCCUUUAAUGUUUGAUGUUCUAACGUGGACCCGUAAUCCGGGUUGCGGACAGUGUCUGGUGGGUAGUUUGACUGGGGCGGUCUCCUCCUAAAGAGUAACGGAGGAGCACGAAGGUUGGCUAAUCCUGGUCGGACAUCAGGAGGUUAGUGCAAUGGCAUAAGCCAGCUUGACUGCGAGCGUGACGGCGCGAGCAGGUGCGAAAGCAGGUCAUAGUGAUCCGGUGGUUCUGAAUGGAAGGGCCAUCGCUCAACGGAUAAAAGGUACUCCGGGGAUAACAGGCUGAUACCGCCCAAGAGUUCAUAUCGACGGCGGUGUUUGGCACCUCGAUGUCGGCUCAUCACAUCCUGGGGCUGAAGUAGGUCCCAAGGGUAUGGCUGUUCGCCAUUUAAAGUGGUACGCGAGCUGGGUUUAGAACGUCGUGAGACAGUUCGGUCCCUAUCUGCCGUGGGCGCUGGAGAACUGAGGGGGGCUGCUCCUAGUACGAGAGGACCGGAGUGGACGCAUCACUGGUGUUCGGGUUGUCAUGCCAAUGGCACUGCCCGGUAGCUAAAUGCGGAAGAGAUAAGUGCUGAAAGCAUCUAAGCACGAAACUUGCCCCGAGAUGAGUUCUCCCUGAGACUUAGAGUCUCCUGAAGGAACGUUGAAGACGACGACGUUGAUAGGCCGGGUGUGUAAGCGCAGCGAUGCGUUGAGCUAACCGGUACUAAUGAACCGUGAGGCUUAACCUU